rnacentral:snoRNA from 1 species
GAGCAAAGGUGUCUUUCACAAAUGACACACAUUUGCAUUGAAGGUUGGCUAUAUAUAUAUAGCGAUUCUCCGUGCCUUUCAAGCUUUUUUCUCGUAUUGAUUACGGCCUCGAACAAAUUGCUACAUU